AGCUCUGGUUUGAAAUCAGUUUCCUUUUCCGUCACUGGAAAGCGCUUUCCAUCUCUCAGUUCCCGACCUGGGCGCCUCCAAAUUUCUUGUGCGGUAAGCUUGAUUGAUCAUAAUACUACCGUAACCUUUUCUUUUAUUGUCAUCUGUCUCAUACAUAAAUUUCUGCAUUCUAAAUAUAUCUUCACUUCUGGUGAUGUGGCAUUGGAUUAAUUUAUUGUAUGCAUGUUCUUUUUGAAUUGAUAAAAUAUGAUUACUUGUUGGGCAUGUUGGAAAAUCCAUUUGUUCCCUUAACAUCUUCACUCCGCUUUUUAAAAGUUUCCUGUAAUGAAGGAAAUUAUACGUUGAGGUCCUCUUAAGACACAGAGUGCUGUUUCCUCUAACACAGACCUCAGAUUGUCUUCCUUAUUUUGCUAAAAGAGGGCCUGAUAACGAAUAAUGGUAUCUCAGAAAGCCAGUGCUUUGUACCAAUCUGCUCUUGGCUCGCUAUGAUACCUACACUCUUCCAUAGUUUUCUUUAAUCUAUGAAACAACUUUUCGUUUGAGGUCCUCUUAAGACACGGAGUGCUGUUUCCUCUAACGCAGACCUCAGUUUGUCUUCUUUAUUUUGCUAAAAGAGGGCCUGAUAACAAAUAAUGGUAUCUCAGAAAGCCAGUGCUUUGUACCAACCUGCUCUUGGCUCGCUAUGAUGCUUACACUCUUCCAUAGUUUUGUUUAAUCUACGAAACAACUUUUCCUUUGCGGUCCUCUUAAGACACGGAGUGCUGUUUCCUUUAACACAGACCUCAGGUGUCUUCUUUGUUUGGCUAAAAGAGGGCCUGAUAAAAAAACUAGGGCAUCUCAGAAAGCCAGUGCUUUGUACCAAUCUGCUCUUGGCUCGCUAUGAUGCUUACACUCUUCCAUAGUUUUCUUUAAUCUACGAAACAACUUUUCCUUUGAGAUCCUCUUAAGACACGCAGUGCUGUUUCCUUUAACACAGACCUCAGAUCUCUGCUUUGUUUGGCUAAGAGGGCCUGAUAAAAAAUCAUAGCAUCUCAGUAAGCCAGUUCUUUGUACCCAUCUGCUCUUGGCUCGCUAUGAUGCUUACACUCUUCCAUGGUUUUGUUUAAUCUAUGAAACAACUUUUCCUUUGAGGUCCUCUAAAGACACGGAGUGCUGUUUCCUUUAACACAGACCUCAGAUGUCUUCUUUGUUUCGCCAAAAGAGGGCCUGAUAAAAAAACUAUGGCAUCUCAGAAAGCCAGUGCUUUGUACCAUGUGCUCAUGGCUCGCUAUGAUUCCUAUACUGUUCCACAGUUUUCUUUAAUCUACAAAACAAAUUAUCCUUUGAAUAUCAUAACCAUGUCAUAGGAUGCUUAGCCUUGUGUCGUCUAAGAAAGCAUUUUUGUUCUUUAAAGGUACUAAAACUCUGUCAAAUAUAAGUUAGGUAAUGGUGAUUAUAAUUAUAAUAGUAAUAUGGUAUUAAUACUUUUUGCAGGCCAAACCGGACACUAUCACCAAGGUGUGUAGCAUAGUGAAGAAGCAGCUGGCUUUAGCUGAAGAUGUGGAUGUGUCUGCUGGCUCAAAGUUUUCAGAACUUGGUGCUGAUUCUCUUGACACGGUAAUUACCAAUUAUCUUUUGUUGUUCCUAUUUUCUACCUUGCCGAUUAAUCAUUAGCUUUCUAUUAUUUUUCCUUUCCUAUAACGCAAUUAGAAUUUUAGAAUGAUAGGGGUUUUAUAGGGCGGAUAGAUACAUCAGGCUAUGGAGUCCAAUUAAUCAUUAACUUUCAGACUACAACGUUCUUGGAUAGAUCUCUUUGUGCAAAACUGGUUGCAACUUGCUAUGGAUGUUUGUUUUUCCGUGUUUAGUUGGUUAUCGUGAUUGAUAUAUUCGCACCCAUUGAUACAGGUUGAGAUUGUGAUGGGACUUGAGGAGGCAUUUGGCAUCACCGUGGAGGAAGAAAAUGCCCAGACCAUCGCCACUGUUCAAGAUGCAGCUGAUCUGAUUGAGGAUCUCGUUGCGAAGAGUGCUUAAUGAAGUUUGAAGAAAACCAACACAAACAUGAGGACCCUUUUUUUCUCCCCUUACUUUCUUUGUAUGAGGUUUAUAUUUUAUGAUUUUGGGACUUUAAUUAUCUCUAGUUAUGGAUGUUUUAGCGCGCUUAAUUGAAGAUCGAUCGUUAGUGGCGUUUCUAAUGUUAUGUAUUUGUUUACUUUUAUCUCAAGAAAAAUAAUGAAUAGUUGUUUGCUAAUGUGCUGAAUUUUAUUUUUAUCUUACUUGCAUAAGCUGCAAAUAUCGUGGACGACAAUUCUCGAAAAAGAAAAUCAAUGUGACAAGCACUAGUAAGUGUUACUUAAUUCCAAACACUACCAAUAACCUUCAACCUUUGUAAGAUGGGUGGCAAUUCAAAUUCUUACUUGUUUAGUUGUGAAGGGGAUUUGAGAGAUUCGGAAUUAGUCAAGAAGAGUUUGGGGAAUUCAGACUUUGAGAGCAAGGAUUUGGGGAAUACAGACUCGAAGAGUUUGGGGAAUUCAAACUUGAGUAUAGCAUGGCUGACGAACUGUCAACAUUGCCCCUGGUAGUCGAGAAGAGUUGGGGAAUUCAGACUUGAGUGCAGCAUGGCUGACGAACUGUCAUGUUAGUCAGGAAGGGGUUUGGGGAAUUCAGACUUGGGUGCAGAAUGAUAGACAAUCGCCCUGCUAGUCACGAAGAGAAUUUGGGAAUUCAGACAUGGGUGCAUGGUGCCAUGUUUAGUAAUUGGCCCUAUUAGUAUGGAAAUGCAAAAUGACGGAUAAUUAUCAUGUUGAUUAGCUGACUUAACUCAUGUAUCUACUUCAAAUCUUACACAAGAAAACUUUAUCGUUGGAUGAUUCAAGGCCCCAGAUCUUACACAAGAAAACUUGAUCAUUGGAUGAUCCAAGGCCCCAUUACCCACCUCCAAGUUGGACAUUUUCUUCGCUCAAAUUCGUGCCCCCACCCACCCACUUGGUUGGCGUCUGACAAACAAAUUCACUAGAGAUAUUAAAAUCCAGCCAUCUCUUUUUAGAUCAACAAAUCUUAUACGAGACUUAGUGUUCAAAGAUCACGACAGCAGAAACAGACAGAUUAGAUUACCUAAAAUGCCAAAUUUAUUCGUUCCGGUACAUCUUAGGAUGUCACAUGCACUGACAAAUAAAUUUACUUUCAAUUAUUCGAUUUCGAUCUAGUUAAAACAAUGUGCGACUUUACUUGGUGUUGUAAUUUUCGGUAUUUUACCUAUAUCAAUAUUAAGUGAUGAGUGUUGCAGACUCAGUCUCUAAUGAGAGUAGCAAGACACCAAGCAUUUCUUUUCUAUACAAUCGAUGUCGAAAAAAGAGGAUAAGUGAAUGCAACAUCUCAAAUGUAAAAAUAAAUGCUCUUCAA
rnacentral:lncRNA from 1 species